AUUGAACGCUGGCGGCAGGCCUAACACAUGCAAGUCGAGCGGAUGACAGGAGCUUGCUCCUGAAUUCAGCGGCGGACGGGUGAGUAAUGCCUAGGAAUCUGCCUGGUAGUGGGGGACAACGUCUCGAAAGGGACGCUAAUACCGCAUACGUCCUACGGGAGAAAGCAGGGGACCUUCGGGCCUUGCGCUAUCAGAUGAGCCUAGGUCGGAUUAGCUAGUUGGUGAGGUAAUGGCUCACCAAGGCGACGAUCCGUAACUGGUCUGAGAGGAUGAUCAGUCACACUGGAACUGAGACACGGUCCAGACUCCUACGGGAGGCAGCAGUGGGGAAUAUUGGACAAUGGGCGAAAGCCUGAUCCAGCCAUGCCGCGUGUGUGAAGAAGGUCUUCGGAUUGUAAAGC
rnacentral:rRNA from 1 species